rnacentral:lncRNA from 1 species
UGAGGGUUGGGAACAGGCGGAGCAGAGCCCUAGCUUCGGCAAAGAGAGCGCCGAACUCCCAUGGAGUGCGAUCUUGGUCAAGGAUGGCUGCGACGACGGUAAGAGAGUCUGAUUCAAGAAGGAGGCUUUGCUGAUUUCUGCUAGUGGUGAUGAGAAAACGAAGGGCAGAAAUGAGGGCUUGGGUUUCUGCUUGCAGGGGCGAGACAGAAAGUGUUCGGUGAGCAGAACCAUCAAUCAGCUUCCCAGAGGAGUCUCGACAAAGACAAGAAACAGCAGCGCCGUCUGUGAUCGUGGGAAAAGAGGCAUCAAUAUUGAUUUUAAGCUUACCAGGAGGCGGAGGACACCAUGACAGGUCCAAGGGGAGACGCCGAGGAAUUGGUUUUCCAGCCGAUCGAAACCCAGAAGAAGAAGAGGCCCCAUCGAAACCCCCGGUGAGUGAGCUAUUUCGCUGGAUUGAGAGGUCUGGCUGGUGUAUAUUCUGACAAUGUUAUUGCUGCGAGGUCUGAUGACAGCGAUGAUAUGAACGGGCAUGGGCCAGUGCAGAAACUACGAUGUGAUCGGGGUUGGGUGGUCGUCGGCGGAAGAUGAAGUCGUUCCUGGCUUUCCAAAUGU